CCUCUUUUACAGGGGUGUCCAGAGAAGUUAACUACUUUGCCCACGUCCUAAACUGGAGCACGGAGGAGCAAGUGGUUAGUUCUGACUUGGCAGAUCCAGGCGACUGCAGGACAGAACUGGUAUAUGAGUUGGGCUUUAAAGGUAGAUUUGAAUUUUAAUGGAGAGUAUGG